UCAUAGCCCCGAUGGCAGCGGAUAUCCUUGCCGCAGCCUGGCCUCUGCGGUCCGGGCAAGAUAGCAGCGCACAGCGGGACGGUGG
rnacentral:sRNA from 1 species